rnacentral:rRNA from 1 species
UACGGAGGGAGCUAGCGUUGUUCGGAAUUACUGGGCGUAGAGCGCACGUAGACGGCUUUGUAAGUUAGAGGUGAGAGCCCGGAGCUCAACUCCGGAAUUGCCUUUAAGACUGCAUCGCUAGAAUCAUGGAGAGGUUAGUGGAAUUCCGAGUGUAGAGGUGAAAUUCGUAGAUAUUCGGAAGAACACCAGUGGCGAAGGCGACUAACUGGACAUGUAUUGACGCUGAGGUGCGAAAGCGUGGGGAGCAAACAGG